CCUACGGGAGGCAGCAGUGGGGAAUAUUGCACAAUGGGGGAAACCCUGAUGCAGCGACGCCGCGUGAGCGAUGAAGUAUUUCGGUAUGUAAAGCUCUAUCAGCAGGGAAGAAAAUGACGGUACCUGACUAAGAAGCCCCGGCUAACUACGUGCCAGCAGCCGCGGUAAUACGUAGGGGGCAAGCGUUAUCCGGAUUUACUGGGUGUAAAGGGAGCGUAGACGGUCCUGCAAGCCAGAUGUGAAAGCCCGGGGCUCAACCCCGGGGCUGCAUUUGGAACUGUAAGGCUGGAGUGUCGGAGGGGCAGGCGGAAUUCCUGGUGUAGCGGUGAAAUGCGUAGAUAUUAGGAGGAACACCAGUGGCGAAGGCGGCCUGCUGGACGAUGACUGACGUUGAGGCUCGAAAGCGUGGGGAGCAAACAGGAUUAGAUACCCUAGUAGUC
rnacentral:rRNA from 1 species